rnacentral:rRNA from 1 species
CCUGCGGUUUAAUUGGACUCAACGCCGGGCAGCUCACCGGAUAAGACAGCUGGAUGAUAGCCGGGCUGAAGACUCUGCUUGACUAGCUGAGAGGAGAUGCAUGGCCGUCGUCAGUUCGUACUGUGAAGCAUCCUGUUAAGUCAGGCAACGAGCGAGACCCACGCCAACAGUUGCCAGCUCGUCCUCCGGGAUGGUGGGGACACUGUUGGGACCGCCUCUGCUAAAGAGGAGGAAGGAAUGGGCAACGGUAGGUCAGCAUGCCCCGAAUUAUCUGGGCUACACGCGGGCUACAAUGGGUGGGACAAUGGGUAUCGACACCGAAAGGUGAAGGCAAUCUCCUAAACCCAUCCGUAGUUCGGAUUGUGGGCUGCAACUCGCCCACAUGAAGCUGGAAUCUGUAGUAAUCGUGUCUCAAAAUGGCACGGUGAAUAUGUCCCUGCUCCUU